AAUGAUGACAAUCUCUGCUUUAGGUUUUGUCAUCGCUGCUGUGUUUGCUGUGCAGAUCUCAGCCACCACAGAUCAUGGACAGUUGUCUCCCAAGGAAAUAGGAUGUUGUAGAGAUCAUUGUGGACUUCCGGGUCGGGAUGGACGAGACGGACGGGACGGUAUUCAGGGACCGUAUGGACCACCUGGGUCCCCGGGAGAGAAGG